CAGAAACCGCGAGCCGUUUCCUUUCUCUUCGGAAAUGGCAGUUUUGUUGUCCUGGAUGAAGGCGAGCGCCGCUGCCUCCCUGAAUGCUGAGCACGCUGGCUUCGCGGUGCCCGGAAGGAAGCCUUUGAAGACCCUGACUCCAGUGUCUCCAGCUGAGAGGCUGAGCUUGCCAGCUCCAUUUCUGACUGCUCAUGGAGCAGAAUCAGUGACCAAGGAGAAAAGGGCUGAGUGAAGAAACAAGUGUGAGUGCCAAGAUGAUGCCAAGGGCUGUGAUUUCCUGGUGGGAAGAAAGAAGGAAUAGAAGCCAAAGGAAGGGGGAUGAAAAGCAAAACCAAGAAUCACAAGGAAUCAAGUUCGGAGAGAAUUUUGGCAGAGAUUUUGAGAGGGGGGCUUUAAGUCAGCCAUGGACAUACUGAAGCAAGAGGAAUGAAGGGAAAAAAGAAAAGGGGGGAAAAAAAGAAGAAGAAUGGGGCCAAGGAGGAUUUAAGACUACCAUUAUAGGUUACAAGUUGAAUUCUUUUUAAUAUUCUUCAAGCAAUGACAGUAAAGAUUCAAAUAACUUUUAAAUUACCUUUGAUUUCUAAACCAAGUUUCUUGGAAUGUGAAAGUCGCCAAGACUGGGCCCUGCAGGGCCUGGGUUGGGCUACUACUGCCUAUGGAGAUUCUGAGGGUAUUAACCUUAAUAAUGGCAUGAAAUCAAUAAAAAUCAUCCAAAAGCU
rnacentral:lncRNA from 10 species